rnacentral:rRNA from 1 species
CAGCCGCCGCGGGAAAACGAAGGGGGCUAGCGUUGUUCGGAUUUACUGGGCGUAAAGGGUGCGUAGGCGGAUUGUUAAGUCAGGGGUGAAAUCCCGAGGCUCAACCUCGGAACUGCCUUUGAUACUGGCGAUCUUGAGUCCGGGAGAGGUGAGUGGAACUGCGAGUGUAGAGGUGAAAUUCGUAGAUAUUCGCAAGAACACCGGUGGCGAAGGCGGCUCACUGGCCCGGAACUGACGCUGAGGCACGAAAGCGUGGGGAGCAAACAGGAUUAGAUACCCCAGUAGUCCCUGUCUCUUAUAC